rnacentral:rRNA from 1 species
UACGGAGGGUGCAAGCGUUGCUCGGAAUUACUGGGCGUAAAGGGCGUGUAGGCGGUUUCGUAUGUCUGGCGUGAAAGCCCCGGGCUCACCUCGGGAAGUGCGUCGGAAACUGCGAGACUAGAGUCCCGGAGAGGGAGGUGGAAUUCCAGGUGUAGCGGUGAAAUGCGUAGAUAUCUGGAAGAACACCGGUGGCGAAAGCGGCCUCCUGGACGGUGACUGACGCUGAGACGCGAAAGCGUGGGGAGCAAACAGGAUUAGAAACCCUAGUAGUCC